CGGACUGUAUACCGUCGGCAAUCCGGCGCCCUGCCUCGUCCCCGCGGACGGAUACGCAGGUGAAACGCACUCCGAAACCUUGGUA
rnacentral:tRNA from 1 species